AGAAGCUCCAAGACUGUGUGCCAACAUCAAUCUGGACACAGUUGCCUGUCAUUACUCCCUCUGGCAUGGUCACAAAAUGAGAUUUUACAUGCAAUUAAAGAUCAAGCCACUCUGAUGUAUUGUAGGUCAGCCUUGACAACUGUCACAUGUGGCAUGAACACUGAGGGGCUGCCUGGUGUCCCUGUGAAUCAAAGCAGCAGGAAUGUUGGAAUCCAGCAGUGCUGGUGCAUGCUGAUGGGCACUUCCUUCCCAUUUUGCGUUCUUUUCACAGUCAAUAUAAAUCAAUCUGAUGGCCUCCAGUGACUUUCCUCAGUGCAACUCCAAACUUAGUGGGAUAGACGCGCAAGGAUAGAAAAAGCUACCAAAGAAAAGCAUUUUGGACCUCUUGGAUGGAAAAGGGAGGAAGGAGAGGAAGACAACCUGAAUCAAAUGAGCCCCCUACUGGGGUCACACAUGAAGUUUCAGAUUAAGUAGAGCAAAUGAGGAAGUCUUAAUGAAUAGGUAAGGGUCACCUUCUUUCAUGUUUCUUGUUCUUUUUGGAGGAGUUCUAUCUUUACAAAGAAUUAAACAAGGCAACGUCUUAUGGACAGGAGAACAUACAUACAAGGAAGAGUAAAAAUCAUUUGUAACUUCAUUUCCCAACAGCAGCCACCAUUAACAUUUUAAUUACAGGGUUUCUCCUAGGCAUUCUGGUUGGCCCUGGAGCUCAAAGUAAGAGA